rnacentral:lncRNA from 1 species
GGGGGACAAAAAUAUAUUAUGAAGGGGGCGGGAUAAACUACUAACUAAGCAACUGUAACACAUGAAAGGGACAGGGGAUAAAAUAACAUCCCCACUAAGGAAACACUGGUCUAGCAAAAGGGGACCACUACUUUUAAAGAAGUCAUAGGUGCAAUUUUUCUAACCACGAAACUGCACACAUGGACCACGACACUGUACACAUCAACACACAAACUGGAAUUUUUGGGACCACUACAUUUAAACAUAUCACAGAAAUCGAAAACAUAAACAAACAAUAAACGAUACCCAUCACAAAACAACAAAGCAACAACAUAGGAAACAUAUUCUAACAUAAACACACCAACAACAUAUCAUAAUCGGGACCACAGGAAACACACUACAUAUUCGUAGACAUAAAACAUAGGAAACUUACCUUCACUGACGUCCAAGGUCAAUUCGUUGCAUCCACGAGCACGUGAUGGUCUUCGUCUUGCACUUAGAACUUCCACGAACAAAUGGAGAAUGCGAACCCUAACUCUGAUUUCUGAUACUCACGAAAUUCCCAAUUGUCUUAAAUCCCUAAUUCCCACACUUAUUGUUUUCUGAUUAAUAAAUAAACCCAAAUUAUAAAACCAUAUUCCACGUCACAAGCUUUUUUUUUUUUACACUAAAAUACACGUAUUUAAAUCAUUUAUAAGUCAACCAAUUCUCUGUCUACCACGUCAUCAGUAAAAGACGACGUUACUCAUUAGUUAACGGUGAGGGCUUAAUUGCCUCAUUUUUACAAAUUAUAGGACCAAAUUGAGACAAAAAAAAAUAUGAUGACCAAAUUGAGAUUGCCAUACAAAUAUGAGGACCAAAUGAGGGUUUUAAGCUUUUAAUAACACAAACUUUUUCACUUCCAAACAACUUAUAACAGUUCAAUCUAUAACCAUUAAAUUCAAUAAAAUCAUACACAGGCAAGCCAUCAUAAAUUAAACAUACUCAUUUUUCAUCAGUUUCAUAAUUCAUCACAUAUCCUCCAAUAUUCAUAAAACUUAACAUGCAAUUCCAAAAUAGCACACCAAAAUAAAAUUCACCAUAUAUGUAGAGCAUAUAAACAAUUCAAAGAAACAUAACUAGCUCCCCUUACUUUUUGGUUCUCACAGCACAGUUCCUAGAAAACGCCCUAACAGUACCUCCGCACAUAAGUAAUUUCGACAGUACCUACAAGCCACCAAUUUGGUGUAGAGCAUAGACUUUAGGGCUUGAUAGGAUAAGGAAAAUAAAAAUAACUCUACUUGCAAGGUAGAACCUUUGCAUGAGUAAAACACUAGGAUGCGGAGAAUGGGAAAUUUACCUUAUCAGUUGAGAGAUGCGAAACUAAUCGGAUGGAUUGGAAGCUCUCAACUCCGGGUACGUAGGGGCACCUCCUAUUUGGAAAAGCAAUGGUAGAAAUUUGAGAAAGGGUAGAGAGAAGAUGAAGCAAGGUUUAGAGAAAAGGCAGAGCUUCUAAAGAACCCAACUUUUAGAGAGAGAGGGAAGCUAACAAAUGAGUUCUAAUUUCUGAAAAAUUUCUCUCUAAAGUCAGGUUGUUCCUAACCUUAUGGACUUGACUGUCUCACAUAAGGCCCAAUGACUUUAAAAAUUUUUAGACCCUUA